AGUGAACGCUGGCGGUAGGCCUAACACAUGCAAGUCGAACGGCAGCACAGUAAGAGCUUGCUCUUACGGGUGGCGAGUGGCGGACGGGUGAGGAAUACAUCGGAAUCUACUUUUUCGUGGGGGAUAACGUAGGGAAACUUACGCUAAUACCGCAUACGACCUACGGGUGAAAGCAGGGGAUCUUCGGACCUUGCGCGAUUGAAUGAGCCGAUGUCGGAUUAGCUAGUUGGCGGGGUAAAGGCCCACCAAGGCGACGAUCCGUAGCUGGUCUGAGAGGAUGAUCAGCCACACUGGAACUGAGAAACGGUCCAGACUCCUAGGGGAGGCGGCAGUGGGGAAUAUUGGACAAUGGGCGCAAGCCUGAUCCAGCCAUACCGCGUGGGUGAAGAAGGCCUUCGGGUUGUAAAGCCCUUUUGUUGGGAAAGAAAAGCAGCAGGUUAAUACCCCGCUGUUCUGACGGUACCCAAAGAAUAAGCACCGGCUAACUUCGU
rnacentral:rRNA from 1 species